AAUCGUUCGUGUAUAUGAAGACGAGAUGCAAAUGUCUGAUUUACCCAAUUUAAAUCGCAUAAGUAUGAUCUGGUCAGAAAACACUGAUACCAGUGUAGGUAUGAUCCAAUCUGGCUGAGUAUCGGAGUUGUUAGGGGUAUAACAAUAGCUUUACAAAGACAACAGAGAUCAAUGGAGUCUAUAGCUCAAUUCAAGGCAUAAUCAUCUUUUCGAUUACUCGGGUUUACAUUAGUUUCAAAUUCGCAUUUUGCUGCCAAAUUUUCAGGCAGAGCAGGGAAAUUUCCCUCAACUCUCUCCAAUCCCUGGAGCUCAUUAUUUUCUUGAUUAACCCUACCCUUUUGCUCGAUGCAAAUUCCCUGUUGCAUGAACCUAGCAUUUUCUAGAAGCAACAAUGGCCGCGCUCUUUAUUAUAACAUAUUAAUCCUCCAGCGUCGAAUUUUUCACUCUACUUGGACAAACUCAGGGGUUAAGCCUUUAAUUUUCACGAAUAAACAAGUAGCACUUGUCUUGCGUUGAUGUAAUACUCCCGAAUAAUUGACAACUCAUAUCCGGAAUAAUCCUGUAACGAGGAAGAUCUGGUGUACCAGGAUCGACUCCCACGGGUAUCACAGUGAAAUGAGUUAGCAAGCGUAGGAGAGGGAUGAGUGGUCCUAUUAAAUUCAUGUUUAUUAACGCCUCAUUAAUGCUUCUUGUUUAUUCCAACUGUAUAAUUCGAAACUCUAUUUCCUGAGUAUUUUGACAGUACAGUUCUUCAUCUUUAUCCCGAAUAUUGAUUAACGAAAGGUUGCUCUGAAAUGAAAUAUAUUUCAUUUUAUUAAUUUAACUCAUUAAUUUAUCAUCGAAGAAUUAAAAAUAUUGUAAUUGUCAUUGGUUUCAUUAUCAGUUCAAGACAAACUAAUUGAAAAAAAAAUUUAAUAAAUACUUCGUUGAAAUAUAUAUUCGCUAUAGCGUGUAAAUACGAUCGCCGACAAAAAUUUCCUCGAGACGUAAUUUUUAUACUUUUUCUGGUAAUGUUCGUGACAUCUCCUCACCACGAGGUCGUUUAAUAUAUAUAGUGCAUAAAUUAAAGCUCAAGGAAAAUGCGAAGAAUAUUGAGACCGAAAAAAUGGGCAAUGUCUUAGUGCUCCCGGGGUGGGGUGGGGCGUUGCGCACAAGUCCGUGGAAAAAUCAAAAUUAAUGAGAAAAGCAGUGCAUAUGCAGUGCCAGUGGAAAACCUAUCCGUUGUCUAAAAAUAGUUUCUGGGAAGAGAAAACAAGUGUUGAUAUAACAGGAAAGAGAUACAACAUACAGAAAUGAUAGUCGUAGAGGUGAAAGUUAAAAAUAUUGUUGGGAACCGUCUGGUAAUAGUGAACAAUGUUUGCAUUGUGGUGGACUGAUAAGCGGUAAUGGUGACCGCCUGUUAAUAGUUUUCGGAAAAGGAUAGUACAGACUUCGAAUGGAGGUACGAAGAUAUUAAUGAUGGACCGAGCAACGUGACCUUUUUUAGAACGUAACUGCCACCACAAUUUCUAUUUCCCGAGCUGAAAAUGCAGUUGGAAUUUUUCAAUUGAUUUUUUUUCGACGUUCUUCACAUGUAUUGUAAAAGUUUAUAAUUCGAGACCUGAAACUACUUCUCGGAAAAUCUGUAAGAUGGCCCUAUGGACCCUACAAUGUGGAGCUUGUCCCUGCCAGCUUGAGAUAAAAAAUCAAGGAAAAAAUGACAGCAGACAGAGACAGAAUACACAUGACGUCACUACAUACUAAGACGUUUUCUAGCGAAAGGUGAGAACGAGUAAUGGAAAAAAAGUGUAGAAACAGGCGUCUUAUGACAAACCGUCUAAGGCCCAAUGGAUCUGCUAUCUGGCCCCAUAUGUUAGGCUGACCUUCCUGGCAUGCAAGAGAAUAUAGGUGGUAGCCACAUUCAUGCUUAUGUUGUAAGCCUUCCUCAAUUUCAGGUGAAAAACGGGGAAGUCCUAUCAACAGGUUGAAAAUGUUUUUCCUCAUUCAUUGAUUUGAUUCAGUGCUGCUUCUUAUAUUAAUCAAUCCAGGGAAGGCAUUUAAUGAAAAAAAUCCGAUAGAAUGAUUAUAUAAACUAUAAGCAUCUGGUCAAUAUUUUUCCUUUUCGAAAAAAAUAUAUCAGAAAAUGCAUGGAAAAACUCAAUAAUAAAACACUAUCCCGCUGAUAUUAAUAUUUGUCAAUAUUUAUAUUCCUAUUUCGAAUUUCUUUAAUCGUAUGCUAGUCCUGAUUUUUAAUUAUAAAUGCAUAUUAGCUUCACAUGAAGUUAAUGAACGAUAAAAAAUAUUGAUGAAAGAAACCUUU